ensembl:lncRNA
CCAUACGACCACAGUGGAUGUUGACUUUUACUGUUAGGAUUUGGAGCAACAUGAGGACGUCUGUAUGACUCUACUCACCAGAAAAACCCAAGAGACAGAGUUACAAACUGCUCCUACAGACACGCCGCGUGCUUGGUAUCCGGCGAGGUGACCUUGCAGCGGCCCGGCAGAAUGCUCUGAAGUGUUCCUCGUUAGAUGAGAGUGCUGUCUGUCUCCUUGUGUUUUCGGUUGAAAAUGAUUCCAUUACGCCUGCUCGCCACCUCUCUCUGUCACCCUAACGAAGCAUGGGCCUCUGCGUCGCUCAUGCUGGCACGACAGGUGUGCGGCUGCAGCUCGCGCCGGCAGUGACUGAAGACUCUCGACUCGCUGCGGGUCCCGUAUCUUUCCUCAGACUCAGCAUGCGAACUGCUCUUUUUUUAUGGUCCAUGUGUCAUACUCUCCUCUAAACAAGAAAUAUGCUGGAUGGCCCUGGUUUAAAUUCAAUUCUUCAACACAAGCCGUUUAUUAAGGAGCGAGGGCAGGCUGAGAGUGGAGACUGAAGCGGGUUAAAAAGCAGAAAGCGAGGUGAAAGAAUAGAAUCGCUGGAGCUGAAGGCUGAGCUGAGAGCAGCUGUUUGCUAGUGGUGUGCU